rnacentral:rRNA from 1 species
CCUACGGGGGGCUGCAGUGAGGAAUAUUGGUCAAUGGCCGGAAGGCUGAACCAGCCAUGCCGCGUGAAGGUCAGUGCCCUAUGGGCGUUAAACUUCUUUUGUGCGGGAGCAAUAAUGGUCACGUGUGGCCAGACGAGAGUACCGUACGAAUAAGCAUCGGCUAACUCCGUGCCAGCAGCCGCGGGAAUACGGGGGAUGCAAGCGUUAUCCGGAUUUAUUGGGUUUAAAGGGUGCGUAGGCUGUGAGGUAAGUCAGCGGGGAAAUGCCCCCGCUCAACGGGGUGAAGUGCCAUUGAUACUGCCUUGCUGGAAUGCGGGUGCCGUGGGAGGAAUGUGUGGUGUAGCGGUGAAAUGCAUAGAUAUCACACAGAACACCGAGUGCGAAGGCAUCUCACGAAUCCGCGAUUGACGCUGAGGCACGAAAGCGUGGGUAUCAAACAGGAUUAGAUACCCUUGUAGUC